rnacentral:rRNA from 1 species
UACAGAGGUCUCAAGCGUUGUUCGGAUUCAUUGGGCGUAAAGAGUGCGUAGGCGGCGCGGUAAGUCGGGUGUGAAAUCUCGGGCUUAACUCCGAAACUGCAUUCGAUACUGCCGUGCUUGAGGACUUGGAGAGGAGACUGGAAUUUACGGUGUAGCGGUGAAAUGCGUAGAUAUCGUAAGGAAGACCAGUGGCGAAGGCGGGUCUCGUGGACAGUUCCUGACGCUGAGGCACGAAGGCCAGGGGAGCAAACGGG